rnacentral:tRNA from 1 species
GGAGGUGUCGCAUAGUGGUCUAGUGCGCACGCUUGGAAAGCGUGUGAGGCGAAAGCCUCCGCGAGUUCGAAUCUCGCCGCCUCCG